GCCCCCGGGCCGUGGCGCAGGAGGUUUCCGCAGAGCUCUUGCAGCACCGCCACUUCCGGGUCCACGGCGUGCCUGUGGGCAGGCGGGUGCUGCCAGCCGAGGCGCAGAGCGGGGGCUCCCUGGGCCGGCCAGCGGAGGAGGGCGCCGAGCCUCUCUCACGCGCGGGAGGGGCUCCUGCCUGUCACCUGGCCUUGCGGAGAGAGCGGCGCCUGGCCGACUGGAGCUUUGUGCCAUUGGAAACGAAGGCACGCUCGCAGCUCCCCCGCGAUGAGCCCAGUACCAGGGAGGUGGCUCCUGGGGUGAGGGAUCAGUUUUGGUUUUCAGCUUUCGAAGUCUCUGGAUACCUGAGCACGAUCCUCCAACUCCAGCUGUCACCUCUGAUAGUUUUUCCCUACACGACUGUACGUGAAGGCCUCGGCCGAAUAGUUACAAACAGGGAUUGCCUUUGCAAUAUUUCUAAAACUUCCCCUAACCCUUGACUUGAUUGGCUUUCCUGUCCCCGUUCUCCAAGGCAGAUGGAGAGAGUGGCCCCUGGCCCGACUUCAGGAGCUACCAGAGCAGCAAAGGCAUCAACUAUUUUUUCCAAAAGGUAGAACUUGCGUACAUAAUCC
rnacentral:lncRNA from 1 species